UAUGGUGUUCAUGGCUUUUUGUUCCAUGGUGUUUGCCCAAACCAAUGAGUUUCAGGGCACAUGUAGGGCACAUAAUUUCCCUUUGGUUUUUCUUAUGUAUUUGCCCUUGUAAUCAUGCCUCCAAAGUGCAAAUCUGAUUCAGAUGCAAGUGCAAGUGAUGCAAUGAAGAAAAAGAAAACAAUCCUGAUGGAACUAAAGUGGAAAUAAUAAUGUAAGCAGAAAAAGAAUGAGAUCAAUGCUGAGGGCAUCACUGGCUCCAUGGACUGUGGAACGUUGGAAGAUGAAGGAGCUUUCUGGUGCUGGACUCAAGAUCAUGUCACUCAGAGAUGGAACUUGAGACAACCAAGGGGCUAAAACAUUCUGCCCUGCUCCCCAAAGUCUCACGUCCCACUGAGCCCACUUGUUACUUCAGAGUGAUGUGAAGACCAAGCAACACCAUGCAGCAUGUACUAAUACUGCUCCAUGCGCUACAGAGG